AACGUAGGACACAAGCGUUAUCCGGAUUUACUGGGCGUAAAGCGUACGUAGGCGGCUUUGUAAGUUAGAGGUGAAAGCCCGGGGCUCAACUCCGGAAUUGCCUUUAAGACUGCAUCGCUUGAAUCAUGGAGAGGUUAGUGGAAUUCCGAGUGUAGAGGUGAAAUUCGUAGAUAUUCGGAAGAACACCAGUGGCGAAGGCGACUAACUGGACAUGUAUUGACGCUGAGGUACGAAAGCGUGGGGAGCGAACAGG
rnacentral:rRNA from 1 species